rnacentral:rRNA from 1 species
GACGAACGCUGGCGGCGUGCUUAACACAUGCAAGUCGAACGGAAAGGCCCUGCUUUUGUGGGGUGCUCGAGUGGCGAACGGGUGAGUAACACGUGAGUAACCUGCCCUUGACUUUGGGAUAACUUCAGGAAACUGGGGCUAAUACCGGAUAGGAGCUCCUGCUGCAUGGUGGGGGUUGGAAAGUUUCGGCGGUUGGGGAUGGACUCGCGGCUUAUCAGCUUGUUGGUGGGGUAGUGGCUUACCAAGGCUUUGACGGGUAGCCGGCCUGAGAGGGUGACCGGCCACAUUGGGACUGAGAUACGGCCCAGACUCCUACGGGAGGCAGCGGUGGGGAAUAUUACACAAUGGGCGGAAGCCUGAGGCAGCGGCGCCGCGUGCGGGAUGACGGCCUUCGGGUUGUAAACCGCUUUCGCCUGUGACGAAGCGUGAGUGACGGUAAUGGGUAAAGAAGCACCGGCUAACUACGUG